rnacentral:rRNA from 1 species
AGUGAACGCUGGCGGUAGGCCUAACACAUGCAAGUCGAACGGCAGCACAGGAGAGCUUGCUCUCUGGGUGGCGAGUGGCGGACGGGUGAGGAAUACAUCGGAAUCUACUCUGUCGUGGGGGAUAACGUAGGGAAACUUACGCUAAUACCGCAUACGACCUACGGGUGAAAGCAGGGGACCUUCGGGCCUUGCGCGAUUGAAUGAGCCGAUGUCGGAUUAGCUAGUUGGCGGGGUAAAGGCCCACCAAGGCGACGAUCCGUAGCUGGUCUGAGAGGAUGAUCAGCCACACUGGAACUGAGACACGGUCCAGACUCCUACGGGAGGCAGCAGUGGGGAAUAUUGGACAAUGGGCGCAAGCCUGAACCAGCCAUACCGCGUGGGUGAAGAAGGCCUUCGGGUUGUAAAGCCCUUUUGUUGGGAAAGAAAUCCAGCUGGCUAACACCCGGUUGGGAUGACGGUACCCAAAGAGUAAGCACCGGCUAACUUCGUGCCAGCCGCCGCGGUAA